ACCGGCUCACGGGUGAGUAACACGUAUGCAACCUGCCCGCCACAGGGGGAUAAGCGGAAGAAAUUCCGUCUAAUACCGCGUGACGCGGCGCCGGGGCAUCCCGGUGCCGCCAAAGGGAUUACCGGUGGCGGAUGGGCAUGCGGCGCAUUAGCUAGUCGGCGGGGUAACGGCCCACCGAGGCGACGAUGCGUAGGGGUUCUGAGAGGAAGGUCCCCCACACUGGUACUGAGACACGGACCAGACUCCUACGGGAGGCAGCAGUGAGGAAUAUUGGUCAAUGGGCGGGAGCCUGAACCAGCCAAGUCGCGUGAGGGAUGACGGUCCUACGGAUUGUAAACCUCUUUUGCCGGGGAGCAAGCGUGCGUUCGUGAACGCGCGUCGAGAGUACCCGGAGAAAAAGCAUCGGCUAACUCCGUGCCAGCAGCCGCGGUAAUACGGAGGAUGCGAGCGUUAUCCGGAUUUAUUGGGUUUAAAGGGUGCGUAGGCGGGAUGCCAAGUCAGCGGUAAAAAUGCGGUGCUCAACGCCGUCGAGCCGUUGAAACUGGCGUUCUUGAGUGGGCGAGAAGUAUGCGGAAUGCGUGGUGUAGCGGUGAAAUGCAUAGAUAUCACGCAGAACUCCGAUUGCGAAGGCAGCAUACCGGCGCCCUACUGACGCUGAGGCACGAAAGCGUGGGUAUCGAA
rnacentral:rRNA from 1 species